CCAAUAGCGUAUAUUAAAGUUGUUGUGGUUAAAAAGCUCGUAGUUGAACCUUGGGCCUGGCUGGCCGGUCCGCCUCACCGCGUGUACUGGUCCGGCCGGGCCUUUCCCUCUGUGGAACCUCAUGCCCUUCACUGGGCGUGACGGGGAAACAGGACUUUUACUGUGAAAAAAUUAGAGUGCUCCAGGCAGGCCUAUGCUCGAAUACAUUAGCAUGGAAUAAUGAAAUAGGACGUGCGGUUCUAUUUUGUUGGUUUCUAGGAACGCCGUAAUGAUUAAUAGGGACAGUCGGGGGCAUCAGUAUUCAAUUGUCAGAGGUGAAAUUCUUGGAUUUAUUGAAGACUAACUACUGCGAAAGCAUUUGCCAAGGAUGUUUUCAUUAAUCAAGAACGAAAGUUAGGGGAGCAAAGACGAUCAGAUACCGUCGUAGUCUUAACCAUAAACGAUGCCGACUAGGGAUCGGUGGGAGUUAGUUUUAUGACUCCAUCGGCACCUCAUG
rnacentral:misc_RNA from 1 species